GCUUGUCUCAAAGAUUAAGCCAUGCAUGUCUUAGUGUAAAUAACUCUUAUGAAACUGCGAAUGGCUCAUUAAAUCAGUUAUCGUUUAUUUGAUGGUCCCUUACUACAUGGAUAACCGUAGUAAUUCUAGAGCUAAUACAUGCUGUAAAGCCCGACUUCUCGGAAGGGCCGUAUUUAUUAGAUAACAGACCAGCAGCUUCGGCUAUUGUGGUGAAUCAUAGUAACUAAUCGGAUCGCAUGGGCUAGUCCCGCGACAAACCAUUCAAGUUUCUGCCCCAUCAGCUUUCGAUGGUAGGGUAUUGGCCUACCAUGGCGUUAACGGGUAACGGAGAAUUAGGGUUCGAUUCCGGAGAGGGAGCCUGAGAGAUGGCUACCACAUCCAAGGAAGGCAGCAGG
rnacentral:rRNA from 1 species